rnacentral:rRNA from 1 species
AUUGAACGCUGGCGGCAGGCCUAACACAUGCAAGUCGAACGGAGUGGCGGGCGGGUGAGUAAUGUCUGGGACACUGCCUGAUGGAGGGGGAUAAAGUCCGGAAACGGGCGCUAAUACCGCAUACUAUCAGAUGAGCCUAGGUCGGAUUAGCUAGUUGGUGGGGUAAAGGCCUACCAGGGCGACGAUCCGUAACUGGUCUGAUAGGAUGAUCAGCAACAUUGGAACUGAGACACGGUCCAGACUCCUACGGGAGGCAGCAGUAGGGAAUAUUGGGCAAUGGGCGAAAGCCUGAUCCAGCCAUGCCGCGUGUGUGAAGAAGGUCUUCGGAUUGUAAAGCACUUGAAGUUGGGAGGCGGUACCAUCAGAAUAAGCACCGGCUAACUUCGUGCCAGCAGCCGCGGUAAUAC